rnacentral:rRNA from 1 species
GACGAACGCUGGCGGCGUGCCUAACACAUGCAAGUCGAACGGAAAGGCCCUGCUUUUGUGGGGUGCUCGAGUGGCGAACGGGUGAGUAACACGUGAGUAACCUGCCCUUGACUUUGGGAUAACUUCAGGAAACUGGGGCUAAUACCGGAUAGGAGCACCUGCUGCAUGGCGGUGGUUGGAAAGUUUCGGCGGCUUGGGAUGGACUCGCGGCUUAUCAGCUUGUGGGUGGGGUAGUGGCUUACCAAGGCUUUGACGGGUAGCCGGCCUGGGAGGGUGACCGGGCACAUUGGGACUGGGGUACGGGCCAGACUGCUACGGGGGGCAGCGGUGGAGGAUAGUGCGCGAUGGGCGGAAGCCUUGUGCAGCAACGCCGCGUGCGGGAUGACUGCCGUCGGGUUGUAAACCGCUUUCGCCUGUGACGAAGAGUGAGUGACGGUAAUGUGUAAAGAAGCACCGGCUAACUACGUG